rnacentral:rRNA from 1 species
AGAGUUUGAUCAUGGCUCAGGACGAACGCUGGCGGCACGCUUAACACAUGCAAGUCGAACGAGAGAAGAGGAGCUUGCUUUUCUGAUCUAGUGGCGGACGGGUGAGUAACACGUGAGCAAUCUGCCUUUCAGAGGGGGAUACCGAUUGGAAACGAUCGUUAAUACCGCAUAACAUAAUUGAACCGCAUGAUUUGAAUAUCAAAGAUUUAUCGCUGAAAGAUGAGCUCGCGUCUGAUUAGCUAGUUGGUAAGGUAACGGCUUACCAAGGCGACGAUCAGUAGCCGGACUGAGAGGUUGAUCGGCCACAUUGGGACUGAGACACGGCCCAGACUCCUACGGGAGGCAGCAGUGGGGAAUAUUGCACAAUGGAGGAAACUCUGAUGCAGCGAUGCCGCGUGAGGGAAGAAGGUUUUAGGAUUGUAAACCUCUGUCUUCAGGGACGAAAAAAGACGGUACCUGAGGAGGAAGCUCCGGCUAACUACGUGCCAGCAGCCGCGGUAAUACGUAGGGAGCGAGCGUUGUCCGGAAUUACUGGGUGUAAAGGGAGCGUAGGCGGGAUCGCAAGUCAGAUGUGAAAACUAUGGGCUUAACCCAUAAACUGCAUUUGAAACUGUGGUUCUUGAGUGAAGUAGAGGUAAGCGGAAUUCCUAGUGUAGCGGUGAAAUGCGUAGAUAUUAGGAGGAACAUCAGUGGCGAAGGCGGCUUACUGGGCUUUAACUGACGCUGAGGCUCGAAAGCGUGGGGAGCAAACAGGAUUAGAUACCCUGGUAGUCCACGCCGUAAACGAUGAUUACUAGGUGUGGGGGGACUGACCCCUUCCGUGCCGCAGCAAACGCAAUAAGUAAUCCACCUGGGGAGUACGACCGCAAGGUUGAGACUCAAAGGAAUUGACGGGGGCCCGCACAAGCAGUGGAGUAUGUGGAUUAAUUCGAAGCAACGCGAAGAACCUUACCAGGUCUUGACAUCGUAUGCAUAGCUCAGAGAUGAGUGAAAUCUCUUCGGAGACAUAUAGACAGGUGGUGCAUGGUUGUCGUCAGCUCGUGUCGUGAGAUGUUGGGUUAAGUCCCGCAACGAGCGCAACCCUUACUGUUAGUUGCUACGCAAGAGCACUCUAGCAGGACUGCCGUCGACAAAACGGAGGAAGGUGGGGAUGACGUCAAAUCAUCAUGCCCCUUAUGACCUGGGCCUCACACGUACUACAAUGGCUGUCAACAGAGGGAAGCAAAGCCGCGAGGUGGAGCGAACCCCUAAAAGCAGUCUUAGUUCGGAUUGUAGGCUGCAACCCGCCUACAUGAAGUCGGAAUUGCUAGUAAUCGCAGAUCAGCAUGCUGCGGUGAAUACGUUCCCGGGCCUUGUACACACCGCCCGUCACGCCAUGGGAGUCGGUAACACCCGAAGCCUGUAGUCUAACCGCAAGGAGGACGCAGUCGAAGGUGGGAUUGGUGACUGGGGUGAAGUCGUAACAAGGUA